UGGCUCUUCCUAUCAUUGUGAAGCACAAUUCACCAAGCGUUGGAUUGUUCACCCACUAAUAGGGAACGUGAGCUGGGAUUAGACCGUCGUGAGACAGGUU
rnacentral:ncRNA from 1 species